UUCGGAUUGUAGUCUGCAACCCGACUACAUGAAGCUGGAAUCGCUAGUAAUCGCGAAUCAGAAUGUCGCGGUGAAUACGUUCCCGGGUCUUGUACACACCGCCCGUCACACCAUGGGAGUCGGAAAUGCCCGAAGUCAGUGACCCAACCGUAAGGAGGGAGCUGCCGAAGGUGGAGCCGGUAACUGGGGUGAAGUCGUAACAAGGUAAC
rnacentral:rRNA from 1 species